ACGUAGGGUGCAAGCGUUAAUCGGAAUUACUGGGCGUAAAGCGUGCGCAGGCGGUGAUGUAAGACAGAUGUGAAAUCCCCGGGCUCAACCUGGGAACUGCAUUUGUGACUGCAUCGCUGGAGUGCGGCAGAGGGGGAUGGAAUUCCGCGUGUAGCAGUGAAAUGCGUAGAUAUGCGGAGGAACACCGAUGGCGAAGGCAAUCCCCUGGGCCUGCACUGACGCUCAUGCACGAAAGCGUGGGGAGCAAACAGG
rnacentral:rRNA from 1 species